rnacentral:lncRNA from 1 species
GUUAUAUCUACCCACUGUUCUGGGAUUCUUCUGCUUCAGUUAAAGCAAAACCUCUGUGACUAAAAAAAAUAUUGGUAAGAAAGGAAGAAAAAGAUUAUUUCUGUCCAAACUCAUGCCAUUUCUCACAGAUUUUGACUAACACCAUCCUAAGGAGGAUACAAUGUGAAGAUUAGAAAAAGCUGAGAGAAUACUAAACUUGGGUUAGUUAUGUGGUCAGUUUGGCUCCUAGAUGAAUCACAGGACUUAAAAAAUUUAAAAUAUUCUUCAUAUAUAGAAUUCAUAUUAAAAAAAUUAAACUGUCCUUCCUGAAGAAAACUGGCUGAGGCAUGAAAAAAAAAGUUCUUCUAAGGUAACUUUUCCAUGGAAAUUUAUUUCUCUCUAGUAGUAUGUAACCAAAGCUGGCUUAUGAAACUGCUUUGUGUUUCUUGGUGGUCAUACCAAGGGAAAUACACCUGCCAGACCAGCCUGUCUGAGCAUGACUGACUGUAUGUGUGCAGCUGUCUCCAGAUGGCCACCAAUGCCUAUGUCCUUCGAGGUACAAGCUUUCUGUCCAAGGCUUCAAAGCAUUUCACACAUCAAUAAUUGAGUAUUUUAUAGAGUGCCAUACAUUUUAAAAAUGAAUUUAAAAGGAUAAAAAGAAGCCCACUUCCCACCUAGGUAUUAGAAAAGAGGUACAUAAUCCCUACCUACUUUUCAAAGUGCCCUGCACAUAGGCUGUUAUAAUAACUCACAACUUUUUAAAUAGCUAGUUUCACUCCUACAAACUAUGAAGAUUAUUACUCUCAAGGUAUUAAAAGACAGAGCCCAAGUAAUUACAGACCACUACUGCCCAUUUUAAAGAACCGAUAAAAAGGUCUGGACAUAUGCCUGAAAAUUAAAGUUUGAACUCUGAAAGCAAUAAUUCCAAAUCUGUAUUUGUAUCUCAAAUCAAUGAUUAGCAAUUUGUAUGGGGAAAAAAAAUCCUGUUUAGAAGGGUGUCCUGCCAGCUGAGCCCUCCAUGUGUAUGAGCUCUGGUGGUUUAUAAGCAGUGAGUACAGCCAAGUGAC